CAUCACCCAGAGACUUGCAACCGCUUUUCAAAUCAGCAAUUUCAGAGCAUGGCAGGGACAAUUAUGCUUUUGCUUCAACUUGCCAUAUUUUCAGCUGUUCUUGAAGGUGUCCAGUCUCAGAUCCAACUUGUGGAGUCUGGAGGGGAUGUGAAAAGGCCCGGGGAGUCCCUCCGCCUCUCCUGUCGGGCCUCCGGCUUCACCAUCAGCGGCUACUACAUGAGCUGGGUGAGACAAGCCCCUGGAAAGGGCCUGGAAUGGGUUGGAAUUAUGUGGUAUGAUGGAAGCAAACAGUAUUAUGCCGACGCAGUGAAGGGGCGCUUCACCAUCUCCAGAGACACCUCCUCCAACAUGCUGUACCUGCAAAUGAGCAACCUGAAAGCUGAGGACACUGCCCUGUAUUACUGUGCAAGAGACACAGUGGGAGGAAAGCUGCCUAAGCCAGAGAUAUGA